UUAAGUUCAGCGGGUAGUCCUACCUGAUUUGAGGCCAGAUGAUUCAAAAUUGUCUCAUUAACAAGACGGUUUGAAGCAAGGUCUACAGGGACUUCAAGGCGUAGAUAAUUAUCACACCAAGGAUCCAACUAUAUAAACCCCAGCUAAUGAAUUUAAGAAGAGUUGACUUGCGCCAACAAGCUUCCAAGUCAAAUACAAAA
rnacentral:misc_RNA from 1 species